rnacentral:rRNA from 1 species
UACGUAGGGUGCAAGCGUUGUCCGGAAUUAUUGGGCGUAAAGAGCUCGUAGGCGGUCAGUCGCGUCUGCUGUGAAAACUCGGGGCUUAACUCCGGGCCUGCAGUGGGUACGGGCUGACUAGAGUGCGGUAGGGGAGACUGGAAUUCCUGGUGUAGCGGUGAAAUGCGCAGGUAUCAGGAGGAACACCGGUGGCGAAGGCGGGUCUCUGGGCCGUAACUGACGCUGAGGAGCGAAAGCAUGGGUAGCGAACAGG